AUCCUUCUGUAGUUCAUAAGCGUGAUGAUUUGGGUGUUCACGCGGCUGCGUGGCGUGUGCCUCCCUCGAUCCUUGUUAGGACUGCGGCACAUUACCCAUCUGACG
rnacentral:snoRNA from 1 species